AAUUUUAGGUAAUCGCGGUCUUAAUUGGCUGAGGAAAGUCCAUGCUCGCACAAGCUGAAAUGCUUGUAGUGUUCGUGCUUAGCGAAACAAUAAGCUAAGGUAGUCUUAUGACUAACGGCCGAAGAAAUUUCUAAGGGUCUCCUAGGAAAGAGUAUUCGAUAACGUGCCACAGUGACGAUACUUUGUGGAAACGCAGAGGUGAAACGCGGUAAACCCCUCGAGCGAGCAACCCAAAUUUGGUAGGGGCACUCUUUGAAAGGAACGGCUACCCUGUAGCCGGCUAACUGAAGAAGAGACAAGAAAUCUUGUAGAUAGAUGAUUACCCCAUCGAUGGCUGGCACCUAUCCUGCCAUCGGUGACAGAACAUGGCUUAUCGAA
rnacentral:RNase_P_RNA from 2 species